UCAAUCUGAUGUAUCUAUGUCUAUAAAGAUGUUGCUAUUUUAUCCAGUGUUCCAUGAACACACCAAGUAGUCUUCAGCUUUACUAAUGCUGUACCAUUUCUUAGCUAACCGGACAAGCAGCUUGCUGCUCUUUGAAGGGAAGUCUAAACUGGAUGGCUCUAGAGGUACUCUGCUUUUGUUAACGUUAAUGCGGCAUUCUUUUUUAGUUGUGGCGGAAUGAUGGAAUAAUAUGUCUUGCAACUCAUACAAUCCUUGAUGGUGAAUAAUUACAGCACGGAUCUCAAUCAUACUGCCGACAUGUGGAGUUUGGGAUGUACUAUUACCGAAAUGAUUACUGGGAAACCUCCUUGGACUAUGAGUGAGUAAGUACGCUGCACUGUUUUUUUUUUUUUUCAUUUUCUCUCUAUCCUUCCUGGUAAUACGCUUCCAAGCAAAUCUGUGUUGUCGUUUUCUGUUGGAAGUUCGGGCCAUGCGCAUUACCAUUUGGUGUGUGAUCUGUGUCAUGAGUUUCUAUUUAAGGUUGAAUUAUUAAUGCAGGCUCAAGCUAUAUUUAAGGUGAUGCGAAGUUCUCCAGUAAUACCUGAGACGUUAUCUGCCGAGGGAAAGUAGCUGCGGAGAGGCCUUCUGCUGCUAUGCUACUUGAGCAUGCUUUCCUGCAAAUUUGAAGUUGCAAAUGAUUGACUUAUUUCAAGUGUUGUACGUUGUCGCAAAAGGGAUUUGUUGUCCUGUAAAGUUCCAUAUUUACUAAACCAAAAGGAUCACACGGUCCAUAGAUGUGAUGAAGUACUUGUAUAUUGACAAAAUAAGGCACAUACUUCUCUUGCAUGGUCUGACUGGCGGCAUACCAAUCUAGGCAAUUUGACAGUGUUGCUUAAUCUAAACCUUUUACUGCAUAGUGCA
rnacentral:lncRNA from 1 species